rnacentral:rRNA from 1 species
GGUUGACCUCGAAUCAGGUAGGAAUACCCGCUGAACUU